ACGGUUUACUUAUAUAAUUGGGGGUUGUUAGAUUUUUGUUUUAAUUCUGCGUAAUCAUUCCGUCAAUACGGUUGGUCUCCUGCUUUUUGUAAAUUUGGCAGGAAUAUUUCGUGGAUCAAGUUUUGGAAACAUUUAAGAAUGAUGUUUUCAAAAAAGGGCGGUAUUGCCCUCAUCGUCCUCUUCGUUUUCGCCACUAUUCUAUCUGAAGGUGAGGCUGGGGGGCGAGUGAAACGGCAGAGGAACACUGAUUGGGGACCCGAUGGUAUCCCACCGCCGCAGGGUAAUGGGGGAGGAUUCCCGCCGCAAGGAAACGGCGGGGGAUUCCCGCCACAGGGUAACGGCGGGGGAAUACCUCCAGGGCAACGAUGGAGUUACCUGUGGACCUCGCCCGUGAAGUAUCAUCAUUAUUCUUACCAGUACCAUAACAAGUAUUAGAUGAAUUGUGUAAUAAUAAUAAAAGACAAAAUAAAAAUGGCAGAACCACCGCCAUUUUGUGUAGGCGGCCAAUUUGAA